rnacentral:rRNA from 1 species
GGGACACGUGGUAUCCUGUCUGAAUAUGGGGGGACCAUCCUCCAAGGCUAAAUACUCCUGACUGACCGAUAGUGAACCAGUACCGUGAGGGAAAGGCGAAAAGAACCCCGGCGAGGGGAGUGAAAAAGAACCUGAAACCGUGUACGUACAAGCAGUGGGAGCCUCUUAAUGGGGUGACUGCGUACCUUUUGUAUAAUGGGUCAGCGACUUAUAUUCUGUAGCAAGGUUAACCGAAUAGGGGAGCCGAAGGGAAACCGAGUCUUAACUGGGCGUUAAGUUGCAGGGUAUAGACCCGAAACCCGGUGAUCUAGCCAUGGGCAGGUUGAAGGUUGGGUAACACUAACUGGAGGACCGAACCGACUAAUGUUGAAAAAUUAGCGGAUGACUUGUGGCUGGGGGUGAAAGGCCAAUCAAACCGGGAGAUAGCUGGUUCUCCCCGAAAGCUAUUUAGGUAGCGCCUCGUGAAUUCAUCUCCGGGGGUAGAGCACUGUUUCGGCAAGGGGGUCAUCCCGACUUACCAACCCGAUGCAAACUGCGAAUACCGGAGAAUGUUAUCACGGGAGACACACGGCGGGUGCUAACGUCCGUCGUGAAGAGGGAAACAACCCAGACCGCCAGCUAAGGUCCCAAAGUCAUGGUUAAGUGGGAAACGAUGUGGGAAGGCCCAGACAGCCAGGAUGUUGGCUUAGAAGCAGCCAUCAUUUAAAGAAAGCGUAAUAGCUCACUGGUCGAGUCGGCCUGCGCGGAAGAUGUAACGGGGCUAAACCAUGCACCGAAGCUGCGGCAGCGACGCUUAUGCGUUGUUGGGUAGGGGAGCGUUCUGUAAGCCUGUGAAGGUGGCCUGUGAGGGUUGCUGGAGGUAUCAGAAGUGCGAAUGCUGACAUAAGUAACGAUAAAGCGGGUGAAAAGCCCGCUCGCCGGAAGACCAAGGGUUCCUGUCCAACGUUAAUCGGGGCAGGGUGAGUCGACCCCUAAGGCGAGGCCGAAAGGCGUAGUCGAUGGGAAACAGGUUAAUAUUCCUGUACUUGGUGUUACUGCGAAGGGGGGACGGAGAAGGCUAUGUUGGCCGGGCGACGGUUGUCCCGGUUUAAGCGUGUAGGCUGGUUUUCCAGGCAAAUCCGGAAAACCAAGGCUGAGGCGUGAUGACGAGGCACUACGGUGCUGAAGCGACAAAUGCCCUGCUUCCAGGAAAAGCCUCUAAGCAUCAGGUAACAUCAAAUCGUACCCCAAACCGACACAGGUGGUCAGGUAGAGAAUACCAAGGCGCUUGAGAGAACUCGGGUGAAGGAACUAGGCAAAAUGGUGCCGUAACUUCGGGAGAAGGCACGCUGAUAUGUAGGUGAAGCGACUUGCUCGUGGAGCUGAAAUCAGUCGAAGAUACCAGCUGGCUGCAACUGUUUAUUAAAAACACAGCACUGUGCAAACACGAAAGUGGACGUAUACGGUGUGACGCCUGCCCGGUGCCGGAAGGUUAAUUGAUGGGGUUAGCGGUAACGCGAAGCUCUUGAUCGAAGCCCCGGUAAACGGCGGCCGUAACUAUAACGGUCCUAAGGUAGCGAAAUUCCUUGUCGGGUAAGUUCCGACCUGCACGAAUGGCGUAAUGAUGGCCAGGCUGUCUCCACCCGAGACUCAGUGAAAUUGAACUCGCUGUGAAGAUGCAGUGUACCCGCGGCAAGACGGAAAGACCCCGUGAACCUUUACUAUAGCUUGACACUGAACAUUGAGCCUUGAUGUGUAGGAUAGGUGGGAGGCUUUGAAGUGUGGACGCCAGUCUGCAUGGAGCCGACCUUGAAAUACCACCCUUUAAUGUUUGAUGUUCUAACGUUGGCCCGUAAUCCGGGUUGCGGACAGUGUCUGGUGGGUAGUUUGACUGGGGCGGUCUCCUCCUAAAGAGUAACGGAGGAGCACGAAGGUUGGCUAAUCCUGGUCGGACAUCAGGAGGUUAGUGCAAUGGCAUAAGCCAGCUUGACUGCGAGCGUGACGGCGCGAGCAGGUGCGAAAGCAGGUCAUAGUGAUCCGGUGGUUCUGAAUGGAAGGGCCAUCGCUCAACGGAUAAAAGGUACUCCGGGGAUAACAGGCUGAUACCGCCCAAGAGUUCAUAUCGACGGCGGUGUUUGGCACCUCGAUGUCGGCUCAUCACAUCCUGGGGCUGAAGUAGGUCCCAAGGGUAUGGCUGUUCGCCAUUUAAAGUGGUACGCGAGCUGGGUUUAGAACGUCGUGAGACAGUUCGGUCCCUAUCUGCCGUGGGCGCUGGAGAACUGAGGGGGGCUGCUCCUAGUACGAGAGGACCGGAGUGGACGCAUCACUGGUGUUCGGGUUGUCAUGCCAAUGGCACUGCCCGGUAGCUAAAUGCGGAAGAGAUAAGUGCUGAAAGCAUCUAAGCACGAAACUUGCCCCGAGAUGAGUUCUCCCUGAGACUUAGAGUCUCCUGAAGGAACGUUGAAGACGACGACGUUGAUAGGCCGGGUGUGUAAGCGCAGCGAUGCGUUGAGCUAACCGGUACUAAUGAACCGUGAGGCUUAACCUU